rnacentral:rRNA from 1 species
GACGAACGCUGGCGGCGCGCUUAACACAUGCAAGUCGAGCGAGAACCAGGGCUUCGGCCCUGGGGACAGCGGCGAACGGGUGAGUAACACGUGGGUAAUCUGCCCUCGGCACCGGAAUAGCCCGGGGAAACCCGGAUUAAUGCCGGAUGGCCCCUGCACCUCGCGAGGUGUCCGGAAAAGGUAGCUUCGGCCUCCGGCCGAGGAUGCGCCCGCGGCGGAUUAGCUUGUUGGCGGGGUAACGGCCCACCAAGGCAACGAUCCGUAGCUGGUCUGAGAGGACGAUCAGCCACAUUGGGACUGAGACACGGCCCAGACUCCUACGGGAGGCAGCAGUGGGGAAUCUUGCGCAGUGGGCGAAAGCCUGACGCAGCGACGCCGCGUGAGGGAAGAAGGCCUUCGGGUUGUAAACCUCUUUCAGGAGGGACGAAGCCACUCGGGUGAAUAGCCCAGAGGGUGACGGUACCUCCAGAAGAAGCCCCGGCUAACUACGUGCCAGCCGCCGCCGUAACAC